GCUGGGGUUGAAAAGUAAAUGUCUGCAGCAACCCUACAAAGAAGACAAAGAGUUCCAUCUUGGCAAGGCUUUCUCCAAUGCAGUUCCUUCGCCCUGCGGAUGAAAGCAAUGUGUUUACUUGAUGGAAAGCUCAAACUAGAAUAUUUGCCAUGGACAUGUUGGCAUCUGAGAUGUUGCAAUGGAAGCAGGAGUGAAACCUUGAAAUGCACCAGAGCGUUUCGGAGCAGAGGAGCCCGUGUUGCUAAAGGUAGCUCUCCCGGUCACACUGGUACAGUGUGCCUGUCUGGUCCCUUUUAUCCCACAGCUACCUGCAGCAGCCAGUCACAGCCAUGUUACAGGGUUAAUAUGCAUUUAUGAUGUACCCUCUCCUCUCCUUAUCUCUUCCAACCCUCUCAACAUCUUUAACCCUUUCUCUUUAAAGAGCAGCCUGACAGAAAAAUGUCACCUCUUCCCAAAGCGGAAUUGUUUGAAACUCACUCUUCCUGUGGAAUUUAUUCUAAUAUCCCACUUUUCCAAAUGACUAUGUUUCUUCUUUCCUACCCCCACUUUGUGUAAGAUUCCCCUCCUUUGCAUGUUGGUCCCUGUGUGGCUGAAGCACUUGGUGGACAGCGAGAACUGGCUUCCUAACGUCAGAAGUCACUGCUGAGGGGCUGUGAGCAUGUUCUGGAAUCCCUUCAAGCCAUCCUUUCAGAGGAACAGCUGGAAAGUUUAUGGGUGCGCCAGAGGAUUUGUAGGAUUCUGCAGGAAAUUUCCAUUCAUAGUACUUAUGGGCUUCUGCAGUGCUGGGAUUUAUUAAACUCCGACCAAGACUGCUCCAGCCAGCUGUGCCCUCUCAUAAUGCAUGCUGCUGCAGCCGUGGGGACAUGGGCUGGGAGCCGGCAUUUCUGGAAAUGAGCAAACUUUGGAAGCAUUUAUAGCUGUCGGGAAGGCAAUGCGUGAUAUUUCUUCUUUUAGGAUGGCUCAGGGGAGAGUUUCUCAUAUCUAACAACUGUUCCUACCAUUAGCUCAGUUUAAGUCCCAAGGGGGUUGGGUUUAUGAGCCUCCAGGGAAAGAAUGUUAAUCAUAUUUUGCAGGUGAAGUUAAAAAAUAUUAAGUUAUUAAAACAAAAAAAGAAGAAUUUGUGACUUGACCAAAAUGACAGACGGAGAUAGUGUCAGGAUGCCAAGUGCUCUAUCACCUUCUCUAACAACGGGGAUGUGCUUCUUCCUCUAAAAGAACAGGUCUUACUGGGAAUUCUUGGGACCUCUUAAAAGUGCCACUGGAAGAAUCCCCAUCCAAGGUGAUUUUUAGGAAUAAUUCAGGGCCUUGGAUUUAAGAUUUCACUGAGUAAUACAGUUUGGUGUACUCUGUCCUACAUUGGGUCUCUGCUGGCUAUGAUACCAGCCAAGGUGCAAGGCUCUCUUCCUUGGCUCUGGUGGGCAGUGGGUGAGGCCUUGUCGAGACCAUUGGCACAUGGGACUUGCCUCAAGACAGGACUUGCAGGUCCCUGGGCUGUAUUCUCACUUCCAGGAGAGGUCAAAAACCCCGUACACGUAACUAUGCUGGCAUCCUCACCAGUCCUGUCUGGUUAUCCACCUACUGACAGCUUUGAGGCAUUUUUCCACCACCUUUUGGAUGCAUUAUAUCUCUUUGUCAUCUCUCCUGUUGAACCUUUGGGAACCAACCCUUUCAGUGGUGGGAGAGGUGUGCUCUGAGAGCAGCCAUUUGCCUGGAUGCAGAAUAAUUGACUCCUUUCAGUUGCCUUGUUGCUUAUUGACCAAGUUAAAGGCAGUAGUUAGCCAUGAAGGCACCGUUAAUGUAUCUUGUAAUAAAAUGGUCCUGCCGUAGCUUCAGCUCUGUGCAGAUCAGCCCUUUAGUUACCUAUGGAGAAGGGCAGGAAAGCCUCUCUCUUUACAAAAUUCCCUUCAGCAUCAAGGAAGUGGUUGGGGUUGAACUGGUGUGGUGUUUCCCAUUGCGUCUUAUCCAGCAGCACUGAGGUGAGUGACGGGAUUACAAUUAUACCCUGGAAGAAAAGUACAUGAAGGCACAAAAGAUAGCAAAAGUGCUCUUUUUGUUCAUUUUGUGACACAGACUUCAGUGUCCCAAGAGAUUUGCUCCACCCAGGGUAGGUAGAGACCCUGAGGGUUUUAUCCUAUCACCCAGUAGAGAGAAAAGUUGGUGAGAUUUUCCUAGCAGUGCCAAGGAUUGAAGCCAAACCCCACAUGGUGCUGUGAAAACCUCAAGCAGAGGGUCAGAUUCCCUGGCACAUACUUCACUGUGCAGAUGGCAUCAAGGAGGUAAACCAGGGUCACCUGUGCAGUGAGGAAGUCCUGAGCAUGAGAGGGACUGAACUGAGUCCUACAAUACCAAUCUCUCUGCACUCAUCAUAGUCACUGGAGAGGAAGAGACUCUUCUGGGGGUGAUUUUUGGAUGCUUAUUUUGGGCUUCAGUCUUAUAACUCCCUCUAAAGAAACCAGUCUUCAAUGGCACUGGCAAAAAUGAGGUGGUGUGUUCCUGGGCUGGAGCAGUUACCUACCUUGGGAAGGAAGUAGCCCCUGAAGUGGGUGUCAACAGCAGUGCAGCGGGGAACAUGGGGCAGGAGGGUGAUAAACCUCUGCACUUCGUGUAGCACCGCAUUUGUAAAUGGCAUGUUCUUCCGAUCCUCAUAUGUGGCCCAGCUUCCAGCUUUGACGGUUCUCCCAAUCUCCUCCUGCACCUUUUCUGGAAGGAACAAACUCAUUGGAUUCCAGCAAGGAAGCCAGUUCCAGAUUUGGUUUUGGGAAAACCCUAUUUCUUCAGGGUAUGGAGAGAGAGGAUUCUUAAAACAUCAGCCUGGGUUUACCCGCUCUAUUUCUAGUUCAGGCAUGUGGAUGGGUUAUUUCCCCAGCGUCACACUGAUCUCCACUCAUCCUCUAUCCCAGCAAGGCACAAGGACUAUUUGGUUGUGACUUUGAUCAGGAUCUAAUCACAUCAGGAGUUCAUAAUAAUAAACAGUUGGGAUUCAGCUUUUAAGGCAAAAGAGCUCCUGUGGAUCUGAGGCCAGGCCUCUCCCCUCCCCAUAUCUGCCAUGGAUGGAGCAUAGGUGAAAGGAGCUCACUUUGAAUCUCUGGGUAUUUCAUCAUCAGCAGGAUGGCCCACUGGAGCGUUGUGGCUAUGGUCUCUGUUCCUGCCAUGACCAAGUCAAGUAUGGAUGCUAUUAAGUUGUCAUCAUGGAAGAGGCUGUCUUUCUUGUUUUUCUCCUUGAAAAACACAAGUGGUAAGAAAGUUUUAAAACCAGUCUUAGUAUUUAGCAAGCUUGGGAAAUACUGCAUAUCCUACAACACCGUUGACUACGAUCUUGUGUUCAUCACAAGAUGAAUUCUUGUGUUCAUCCUUUGUCACUGUGUUUCCUCCCACAUCCAAUAAAAGAUGGAGAUUCUCCUUAGCCCUCCUUUUGUUGCUAAUGUAUUUAUAGAAACAUUUUUUACGGUCUUUUACAGCAGUAGCCAAAUUAAGUUCUAGCUGGGCUUUGGCCCUUCUAAUUUUCUCCCUCCAUUACCUCAAGACAUCCUUGUAGUUCUCCUGAGAGGCCUGCCCCUUCUUCCAAAGGUCAUAAACUCUCUAUUUUUCCUGAGUUCCAGCCAAAGCUUUCUGGUCAGCCAGGCCAGUCUUCUUCCCUGCCGGCUUGUCUUUCAGCACAUGGGGAUGGCCUGCUCCUGUGCCUUUCAGAGUUCCUUCCUGAAGAACGUUCAACCUUCCUGGACUCCUUUGCCCUUCAGGACUGCCUCCCAAGGGACUCUGUCUACCAGGCUCCUAAGCAGACCGAAGUCUGCCCUCUGGAAUUCCAAGGCACUUUCAUCUGGAUAAUUCAUUUUCUGCAAACAGCUUUGGAGUCAACACAUUGGCAGUUUCUGAAGAAAAAGUUUUAUUGGAAAAUCUGUGACCAUUGUCACUUAGCAGCCCCUGUGAAUUUACAGCUUUGGGUCACCUCUAAGUGAGCUCAGUCUUGGGCUGAGAAGGUCGAUCCCCGAGGGUGCUGUCUGCUCUGAGGGAACACUCAGCAGCUUGACAUAAACACCCUGGGCUGUGCCAGCCUCGUCUUGCACUGAAGAACAAUUUACCACCAUAAGUGGGGUAAGUUGUCUUAAUUGCAGGUUGAUAGAACAGUUUACAGGCUAUUCAUUCUGAUUCCUUAGCGCAACUUUUCCAUCCCUCUCUUGCACUGCCAUCUAGAUUUUAAUGCGUAUCCAAUUCAUCAAGAGGGAAGUGGAUUUUGCAAUGGGGCAUCUGGAUUUGGCCCUCUCCAAAGCAGUUUUGGGGUCACUGCAUCGUGGAAUUCCCCCUGCCAGUUCUCCAGGGUGGAGGGGAGGGAAGAAAUUUCAUUCCAUGUUAGUUAUGUCCUCAUGCUUUAAAAAAUUUCUGGGUGUCCAAGCUGUCAAGUUAAUAUUUAAAAUCCCACAAGCAUUAUAUACUUCAUGUACAUCAUCACAAUUACAUGAAGAAAUCCCACAUUACCCAGAGGUCUUUUUUUAAUGGUUGAUUGCUCAUAAAUGACAUUGGAUCAACUAUAAGAAGCCCAGAAAAAUAUUAUAAGCAAUUUUUACACCUUUAUAAUUUAGUUUGAAUUAAAAAAAAAAAAAAUCCCCAAAGUUCUCACUGCUAUAUCCCAGGCAGCUUUAAAGUGCAUGAGGGUCUGGAUUUGGGGGUUUUUGUCCUACCUUCAUUAGUGAUUUAUCUUGCCUUCUAAGAUCCACCAAGUGCAGGUUACCAAUGAUCGGAAGAGGAGUUGGACCAGGAGGAAAUUUAAAAGCUGAAUUUUUAUAGCCAGUUGAAAAAUAGAGAACAGCUAAUAAUACUGCUGCACAUAGCAGACAAAUUAAUGCAGGAUCAGAAAUAAAUGAAAUAAAAAAAGACAUUUUUUAAGCAAUAAUCUGUUUCUGGGGGGGUUAGAAGCAAUAAAAAUGCAGUGGCACUGUUCAGUUUCUGCCAGCUGGCUUUCUGUUUGCUCUCUGCGAUUGCUACAAGCACUCGAUUCUUAUUAAGGUUUGUAGAGUACCUAAAUAAAUACUGCAUACUCCACCCUCUUUAAACACCUCAGAGAAUGUGGUCUAAGCAGUUUGCAAAGCCUGUCCAGAAGUAAAGAGAGUUUCAAAUUACAAACCCAUGCAUGUGUGUGCAAGAACACAUACAUGGGAAAAGGUGCUUGGCAUUCCUCUAUAACCUCCUCCUCCCUCUGAGACCUCAAGGUCCUUUAUUAGCAGUACUAUGACCCUCCAAACACUCCGCUGAUACGGGGAAAUAAAAAGGUUUCUCUGAAUCCUAUUAGUAACCUCCAGAUUAAGAUUUGGAUAGGGUUUGAGAUCUCUGUGUUACCAGAGAGACAAGUAGUAUCAUUAUGGGAGAUUUUAGCUUUCUUGAUGUCAAGUGGAGAUCAAAGGUUGUUAAUAAUGGUAAAGCCCAUGUAUCCCUGGGGGUUGUGGCCCAUAAACUUCUCCAUAAAGUUGGCUCUGAACUGCCCAGAAGGGAUGUGAUUUCAGACUUUGUGUCUGAAGUAGAGGACAUGUAACAGCUAGCUUGGAUCAAGUGAUCGUGAGUGGAUUCAUGAGUGGAAUCAAAAGACAAAAUUAGAUUUGAAACCUCUGGGAGGAUUCUUCGUUUUGCAAGAGCAGCUUCUAAGAGAUAGAGAGAAGUUAAUGAAGUUAGUGGAGCCAGCUCACCUGUCAGGCUUCAGAAGGUGAAAAAAACAGAAGAAUGGAAUUAUUUUAAGUCAAAGAUAUGAAACAUCUGGAACUUGCAUCCCUUAUAAAGGUUUAAAUCUUGUACAGAAGGGCUUGAGAUCUACCUAGUUGAAUAGUGGCUUUCAGGAGGAUAUUUGGAAUAAAGAGCCAAUGGAAUAAGAUUGUUCAGGGAAGAGAGAGUUGUCUGUACAUGAUCAGGAAGCACAAGGCUAGAGGUAUAUUUAUCCAAAGGUUAGAUCAUAUAAAGACUAUUAUUUGGCAAAUAUGGGUCCUCAGCCUUGCAAAUGCAAAGAAGGUAGGGAAGGAAGUGGACCUAAUGUGGAGGGCAGAGCUAUGGUAGCACAGUCCCAAAGCUAACAGCUGCUUGGUAGCACACUGGAGCUGCCUGUGUGGUGUGGAGAUGUUAGAGCACAAUAGCUGCCCAGAAGCAGAAGCAAGUGUGUUGCAACAUUUCUGGGAUUAUUGUUUUUUAUUAGUUUCCAAGAAAUGGGCUGGAGGCAACGGUUUCCUCUAGAGCAUGCCUAGGAUGACUCAACCGUGCCUGCCCAAGUGAGCAAAGAGGCAGAGGGGCUGUAAAGACAGGCAAGAAGGAUGAGGGCUGGCACAGGGUGCAGAAUGUGGGCACUGCGAUGAGAACUUGUGAUGGCACGUGCUCUGCGCCCUGUGCAAAAUGUUUGUUCCUGCAGGGUUUUGUUUGACCGGCAGCACCCUGCAGUGCAAAAGUUACAUGUUGCUCUCCUUUUAUUUCAUGCUUGCCCUGGGAGCCGAUGAAAUCAUAAAAAGGCCUUUCAGAAAGAGACUUAAAUUAUCUCUGAAAAGCUGGAGGGAGUGUAUGGGGGUUUUUAAAACCAGGGUCUGAGUGCAAUGCAUUAAAAUGACAAAGGUAAGUCAAGCUCUUGCAAUGACAAGAAAUUCCUGUCUCAAUAAUGUGUCUGGUACGUGUUUCACUCCAGAGCCACGCUGCUACGUGCGCUCCUGCCUAAGCACACAGAGCUGAGCACAAAACACCUGCCAGGCACUGACACUGCUCCGGGUGCAUUCCUGGGGCAGCCAGGCCCCUCAGGGUGCUCACAGCCGGGUUGUCCUCGGUCCCUCCUGCCCACGUGCCAAUCCUCUGCCACGCCAUGUGAAGCAGGUGGUGCUGGUGAGGUCGUGGAGCAUGGGCAUCAUCCACUGACCCCCUAAGCACAGCCACUGCGCUGCCAGUCAGCCAGCCUGGGGACAGCCAGCCAGUAAAGCACCAGCCCUGCACCCUUUGAAUUAACCUAAAUCCCCCCAAAUCUCUGUGCCUUCCCCGCCAGUCCCAUUUUUGACUAGCGGUGUAUCCAGGGCUGCAGCCUCAGAUAAAUCCUGCUGGCUUUUACUGUGAUGAGUUCCUCUGAAGCAAGGGCAGGAGCCACAGGAAUCACUGUAAAAGGCCAGUCAGAGAGCCAUCCAGAGCCACGUCCUGCCUCAGACAGCAGCCAGACCCAGGGAGCUCCGAGGGCACUGUAAGAUAAUGUAUUCCCCAGACAAGAAAAUGUUUUUUUUCCUGGUUUUGUUUGUUUGGAGUCUGUUUUUAUGUUGAAGUACAUUGAAUUGCAUCCCUUAUCCAGUGUUAAAAGGCUGUAACAGGCAUAAAAAUCUAUUUCCUUCUGUUAGUCUAAAUUCGCUGCCAUUCACUUUAAUUUUCCAUUUUGCCUCUGUUAUGAGAAAAGGUUGAUAGAAGCAGAUGACUCAUCUCUCUGGGACAUUGCAUGGCCUUAUUCUUCCUACUUCUCUUCUCCAUCUGCACUUUAAGGUGAAUAACCAAAGCUUCCAAGCCAGUAUGCAUGGGAAGGGUUUUCCUUCUCCAUCAUCAUUUUUCUUUCCUCCUAUUCCAACUUCUCCUAAAGUCAGUAUAUCCUUGAUGUUCACAAGUCCAUGGGGCCAGAUGGGGUCCACCCAAGGAUACUGAGGGAUCUGGCAUGGGAGCUCGCCAAGCCACUCUCCAUCAUUUAUCAGCAGCCCUGGUCAACCAGGGAGGUCCCAGAUGACUGGAAACUAGCGAACGUGACACCCCUUUACAAGAAGGGUCAGAAGGAGGAUACGGGUAACUGUGCCGGGAAAGGUCAUGGAGCAGAUCAUCUUGAAUGCCAUUAUGCGGCACAUGCAGGACACCCAGGGGAUCGGGCUCAGCCAGCACGGGUUUAUGAAAGGGAGGUCCUGCCUCACUAACCUGGUGUCCUUCUAUGAUAAGGUGACCCGCUUGGUGGAUGAGGGGAAGGCUGUGGAUGUUGUCUACUUGGACUUUAGUAAGGCCUUUGACACUGUCUCCCACAGCAUUCUCCUGGAGAAUCUGGCUGCUCAUGGCUUGGACAAGUGCACUCUGUGCUGGGUUUAAAAACUGGCUGGACGGCCGAGCCCAGAGAGUGGUGGUGAAUGGAGGCAAAUGCAGUUGGUGGCCGGUCACGAGUGGUGUUCCCCAGGGCUCAGUGUUGGGGCCGAUCCUGUUCAGUAUCUUCACUGACGAUCUGGAUGAAGGGGCUGAGUGCACCCUCAGUAAGUUUGCAGAUGACACCAAGCUGGGUGGAAGUGUGGUCUGCUGGAGGGUAGGAAGGCUCUGCAGAGGGACGUGGACAGGCUGGAUCGUUGGGCCAGAGAUUCAACAAGGCCAAGUGCUGGGCCUGCACUUGAGUCACAACAACCCCAUGCAACGCUACAGGCUUGGCUGGAGUGGCUGGAGAGCUGCCUGGAGGAAAAGGCCCUGGGGGUGCUGGUCAGCACAUGGCUGAGCAUGAGCCAGCAGAGCGUGCCCAGGUGGCCAAGAAGGCCAACAGCACCCCGGCUUGUGUCAGCAAUAGUGUGGCCAGCAGGAGCAGGGCAGGGAUCGUGCCCCUGUGCUCGGCACUGGUGAGGCCGCACCUCGAGUACUGUGUUCAGUUUUGGGCCCCUCAGGACAAGGAGGACAUUGAGGUGCUGGAGCGUGUCCAGGGAAGGGCAACGGAGCUGGGGAAGGGUCUGGAGGAGAAGUCUGAUGGGGAGUGGCUGAGGGAGCUGGGGGUGUUUAGUCUGGAGAAGAGGAGGCUGAGGGGAGACCUUAUCGCUCUCUACAACUACCUGAAAGGAGGCUGUGGUGAGGUGGGGGUUGGUCUCUUCUCCCUAGUAACCAGAAAUAGGAUGAGAGGAAAUGGCCUCAAGCUGCACCAGGGGAAGUUUAGGUUGGAUAUUAGGGAAAAAUCUUCACCAAAAGGGUUGUCAAACAGUGCAACAGGCUGCCCAGAGAGGUGGUGGAGUCUCCAUCCCUGGAGGUAUUUAAAAGAAGGUUAGAUGUGGUGCUUGAGGACAUGGUUUAGUGCUGGACUUGGCAGUGAUAGGUUAGCGGUUGGACUCGAUUCUAGAGCCCUUUUCCAACCUUAACAAUUCUGUGAUUCUAUGAUUCUAUGAUUCCUUUUGGAAAUGUGGUGUCUGGAGCAUAAUACCAUCUCAACUCCUUGUCUGUCUCCCUGAGACCAAUGCAAGAAAAAGCUUUGCAUGAUGUCUGAAGCACUUUGGGAAUCUGGGAGGACUCCCUAAUUCACCAAAGAGUGAGUUCUGAAAAUUGUGCCUCUAAGUCCUGUGAGUUAGCAAAGAUACAACCCUAAGUGUUGACUUGCUAACAAAGCUCCAAGGUCCCAGGUUUCUUAUAUCAUUAAACUACAUCAACACAUGGACUGUGUGUAUGAUUUUGAUAGGAGAUACUUUUGAAGGGGACAGUUAUUUAAUUAUUAAAAAGAUCUUUUCAGCUGUGAUUUUGUGGAGCUAGAAAUUCAAUCAUUUCCUUCGAGCUGUUUGUGGCUACGAGUAUUGCUCACUCUUCGCAUUGUUAAACAUGUCUGGCUGCAUGUUGCCCAGGGACCCCUGUGCUCACCUCUCUAAUGUGGGUUUAUUAAAGGUGGUGCAGCCCAACUCUAUAAUUUUGACCCAAAAUCACUUUCAUCCUGCAACGCCAGAUAGAUCAACUGCAACAGAGCAAAAUAUUUAUUUAUCAGGCUUGCAGUAGUUAGACUGCAAAUAGAGCAACAGCAAACAAAAUGUAAGCAAAUGUAGCAGCAAAGGCUUUUGUGUUACAUAGCUUGUUAAGCAGACUCCGUGAGAUGUAUGCAGAAGCUGGAGCUGGCCCCAUGGUACAAUGCAUGUACAAGUGCU